rnacentral:rRNA from 1 species
GAUCGAUGAUGCCCAGCUUGCUGUGGCUGAUUAGUGGCGAACGGGUGAGUAAUACGUGAGUAACCUGCCCUUGACUCUGGGAUAAGCCUGGGAAACUGGGUCUAAUACUGGAUACUACCUUUCAUCGCAUGGUGGGGGGUGGAAAGGGUUUUACUGGUUUUGGAUGGGCUCACGGCCUAUCAGCUUGUUGGUGGGGUAAUGGCUCACCAAGGCGACGACGGGUAGCCGGCCUGAGAGGGUGACCGGCCACACUGGGACUGAGACACGGCCCAGACUCCUACGGGAGGCAGCAGUGGGGAAUAUUGCACAAUGGGCGAAAGCCUGAUGCAGCGACGCCGCGUGAGGGAUGACGGCCUUCGGGUUGUAAACCUCUUUCAGUAGGGAAGAAGCGAAAGUGACGGUACCUGCAGAAGAAGCGCCGGCUAACUACGUGCCAGCAGCCGCGGUAAUACGUAGGGCGCAAGCGUUGUCCGGAAUUAUUGGGCGUAAAGAGCUCGUAGGCGGUUUGUCGCGUCUGCUGUGAAAGCCCGGGGCUCAACCCCGGGUCUGCAGUGGGUACGGGCAGACUAGAGUGCAGUAGGGGAGACUGGAAUUCCUGGUGUAGCGGUGAAAUGCGCAGAUAUCAU